rnacentral:rRNA from 1 species
AUUGAACGCUGGCGGAAUGCUUUACACAUGCAAGUCGAACGGUAGAGGGGGCAACCCCUUGAGAGUGGCGAACGGGUGAGUAAUAUAUCGGAACGUGCCCAGUCGUGGGGGAUAACGUAGUGAAAAUUACGCUAAUACCGCAUACGAUCUAAGGAUGAAAGCGGGGGAUCGCAAGACCUCGCGCGAUUGGAGCGGCCGAUAUCAGAUUAGGUAGUUGGUAGGGUAAAGGCCUACCAAGCCAACGAUCUGUAGCUGGUCUGAGAGGACGACCAGACGCACUGGAACUGAGACACGGUCCCGACUCCUACGGGAGGCAGCAGUGGGGAAUUUUGGACAAUGGGCGAAAGCCUGAUCCAGCCAUUCCGCGUGCAGGAUGAAGGCCCUCGGGUUGUAAACUGCUUUUGUACAGAACGAAAAGGUCUCUAUUAAUACUAGGGGCUCAUGACGGUACUGUAAGAAUAAGCACCGGCUAACUACGUGCCAGCCGCCGCCGUAA